GGAGACAAGAGGCGGGUCUUCCUCACAACCCCCCUCCAAGGACCUGUCCUAGGACAGAAAAGGGGAAUAGAAUUAAUUCUCUCUCUCCCUCUGCUAAGGAGGACCAAGCAGCGGUUCGUUCCAGCCUCAUCCCGUAGAAAUGUGACUCCAUCCUGAGCCCACUCAGAAAAAACCCUGCAACUUUCAGUCUCGUCAGACACUCAGGACUACAACCCCCAGAAGGCACCAGGGCUCAGCUCUUUGACUUGCGCAAUAGUGUUCGUUGUAAAGUGCUAUGACAACAGGACGAAGAAGGCUUGGAGUUAGGUAGGAGUGGGGAGGUGUCCCUUCCGCCGUGCUGUCCUUUUUCUGCUACAUCCCAUUCGCUGCCUCUUUCAUCAUUUUCUCCUUUCUGUGAGCGGCAGAACUUUCCGUUGUUCUCGCCUGGUUGGUCUCUGCCAAGGGAUUGAUGCCGUUUUUCUUGCUUGUCUCAGGGAGUGACAGCGAAGGGAUGCAGGAGAGCUAUCUGGGGGGAGCCCUCCAACUCUGUGGAGCUGAUGGUGCUCUCUGGUGAGGCUCUCUUUUUGCCUGGGACGUGGAACAAGUUGGCGCAGGGGAACGUUAAGGAGUAGUAAGGGUUGCUUUUCUCUGAAUCCUCCGUUCUUACUCGUCCAUCCAGUCCUGGGAUCUUGGCAGACGUUUUUAAAGGGAAAUCAGUGGAAAGCGAGUUCGAAGAAAGGUGGGGGAGGACCCACCCGAUUCGGUAACAGAGUGAACAAAAAUGUCUUUAUUUAAAGCCCGUGAUUGGUGGUCUACUGUUUUGGGAGAAGAAGAAGAAUUUGAUCAAGGCUGUUUGUGUUUGGCUGAUGUUGACAAUACUGGAACUGGACAAGAUAAAAUAAUUGUAGGUAGCUUUAUGGGAUACCUAAGAAUCUAUAACCCUCAUCCUGUAAAGACAGGAGAUGGUGCUCAAGCUGAAGAUUUGCUUCUUGAGGUGCAUCUACGAGAUCCAAUACUGCAAGUGGAAGUAGGAAAAUUUGUUUCAGGUACUGAAAUGCUUCAUUUGGCUGUGUUGCAUUCUAGAAAACUGUGUGUCUACUCUGUCUCAGGAACCUUGGGUAAUGUGGAACAUGGGAACCAAUAUCAGAUCAAAUUGAUGUAUGAACAUAAUCUUCAGAGAACAGCCUGCAAUAUGACUUAUGGAUCGUUUGGUGGUGUAAAAGGUCGUGAUUUGAUUUGUAUCCAGUCUAUGGAUGGGAUGCUGAUGGUAUUUGAGCAGGAAAGCUAUGCUUUUGGAAGAUUUCUCCCUGGUUCUCUUUUACCUGGCCCUCUUGCCUACAGUUCCCGUACAGAUUCCUUCAUCACUGUUUCUUCCUGCAGACAAGUGGAAAGUUAUAAAUACCAAGUACUUGCUUUUGCAACGGAUGCAGAUAAAAGACAAGAGACUGAACAGCAAAAACUGGGUUCUGGAAAAAGACUAGUUGUGGAUUGGACUUUAAAUAUUGGAGAGCAAGCUCUUGAUAUAUGUAUUGUCUCUUUCAACCAGUCAGCAUCUUCUGUUUUUGUUCUUGGUGAGAGAAACUUUUUUUGCCUUAAGGAUAAUGGACAAAUUCGAUUCAUGAAGAAACUUGACUGUAGCCCAAGUUGUUUUCUCCCAUAUUGCUCAGUUUCCGAAGGAACAAUAAAUACUUUGAUUGGAAACCAUAAUAACAUGUUGCAUAUUUAUCAAGAUGUGACGCUGAAGUGGGCCACUCAACUUCCUCACGUUCCUGUAGCAGUGAGAGUGGGCUGUUUACACGAUUUAAAGGGAGUGAUAGUCACUCUGAGUGAUAAUGGUCAUUUGCAGUGUUCAUACCUGGGGACAGACCCUUCUUUGUUCCAAGCUCCAAAAGUUGAAUCUAGAGAACUAAACUAUGAUGAACUUGAUACAGAAUUGAAAGAACUUCAGAAAAUCAUCAAAGAUGUUAACAAGUCACAAGGUGUUUGGCCCAUUACUGAGAGAGAAGAUGACCUGAAAAUCUCUGCCAUGGUUUCUCCUAACUUUGAUUCAAUAUCUCAAGCUACUGAUGUUGAGGUGGGAGCUGACCUUGUCCCUUCAGUCACAGUGAAGGUUACACUGCAGAAUCGAGUGGGAUUGCAAAAGAUCAAAUUAUCGAUUUAUGUGCAGCCACCUUUAGUAUUGACUUGUGAUCAGUUCACAUUUGAAUUUAUGGCACCAGAGAUGACUAGAACAGUAAGCUUUUCUGUUUAUCUGAAGGGAAGUUAUACACCAUCUGAAUUGGAAGGAAAUGCUGUUGUUUCUUAUUCCAGACCAACAGAUCGAAAUCCUGAUGGCAUUCCUCGAGUUAUCCAAUGUAAAUUUAGACUUCCCCUAAAAUUAAUCUGCUUACCAUGCCAGCCUUCAAAAACUGCAAGCCAUAAACUAACUAUUGAUACCAACAAAUCUCCAGUCAGUCUUCUCAAUCUCUUUCCAGGCUUUGCCAGUCAGUCAGAAGAUGAUCAGGUGAAUGUAAUGGGCUUUCGCUUCUUAGGAGGUUCCCGAGUUACUCUUCUUGCUUCCAAAACCUCUCAACGAUAUCGUAUUCAGAGUGAACAGUUUGAGGAUCUUUGGCUCAUAACAAAUGAGCUUAUUAUUCGCCUUCAAGAAUAUUUUGAAAAACAGGGAAUCAAAGAUUUUGCAUGUUCUUUUUCUGGAUCUAUGCCCCUUCAGGAAUAUUUUGAGUUGAUCGAUCAUCAUUUUGAGUUGCGGAUAAAUGGUGAAAAAUUAGAGGAACUCUUAUCUGAAAGAGCUGUACAGUUCCGGGCCAUUCAACGUCGUCUGUUAACAAGGUUCAAAGAUAAAACACCUGCCCCCCUCCAACACCUGGAUACUUUGCUAGAUGGAACUUACAAGCAGGUAAUCGCUCUAGCAGAUGCAGUAGAGGAAAACCAAGGCAAUCUGUUCCAGUCAUUCACCAGGCUGAAAAGUGCCACCCAUUUGGUGAUUCUGCUGAUUGGGCUGUGGCAAAAGCUUAGCGCCGACCAGAUUGCUAUUCUGGAAGCAGCAUUUCUGCCUCUGCAGCAGGAUGCUCAAGAAUUGGGCUGGGAAGAAAUGGUGGAUGCUGCUAUUUCCCACCUCUUGAAGACCUGCCUGUCGAAGAGUUCAAAGGAGCAGGCUCUGAACCUCAGCAGCCAGUUGAGUAUCCCCAAAGACACAAGCCGAUUGAAGAAGCAUAUCACUUUGCUCUGCGAUCGAUUAGCCAAAGGUGGACGUCUCUGCUUAAGUACGGAUGCAGUGGCUCCGCAGACCAUGGUUAUGCCAGGUGGCUGUGCUACGAUCCCAGAAUCGGACCUAGAGGAAAGAUCAAUAGAACAAGACUCCACUGAACUGUUUACGAACCACAAACACCUCAUCAUGGAGACACCCAUGCCUGAAGUUUCACCCCUCCAAGGAGUCUCAGAAUAGUCAAAGUAGAGUUGUCUGGUUGAGGGGAAGAUGGCCUUCCUGAGGCUGAACCUGUAUGGACCUCAUGCCAAGCACAGAUGAAAGGCUGGCCCAGGUGCUUCACCCAGCUCACCUGCCACAAGAUGACACUAGGAAAUGCAGCAGAAGAUGUAAUAGUUUUCAUUGUCAAGUAUGGCAGUGGACAACUUCUAGCCUUUGGGCCAGAAUCAACCAUUAGGUUAAUGUCACCCAGCGUGUGGGGACCAGUCAAAGAUGUCAUGGCUCUGUGUAUGCCUAAAGAUGCAACACACCACUUCUGAUCAUCUUUAACCACUUCAUUGAAGAAAGAUUGUCCUAAGAAGAGGCCGAUAUGACUCUCCAGCUAUAUUUACUUAAAUUUGGCUUUAAAGAGAGAGUUUCGCAAGCUGGCAUUUUUGUGGGUGGUUGUGUGAUGUCGCUGAGCGUCAGAGCCCUGGAAACACAGAUGCUACCGCUACUGUUUCAUCUCUAGGAUACCAAACACCAGAGAUGGGGACAGCAAUAUCCACUUUCCCGAGUAAAAGGAGGCCAAAUGAGAGCAAUGCGCUCCUAUCCGCUCCUCGGCGUGGUGGGAUAUGGGCACUGCUGCCUUAAAUGAAGGCUCCAAUUACUUAAAAACAAAAAACAAAUAAACAGCCCCCCCCCCCUGUGGGGGGAGGAAACCGAGGAGGGUUUAAGAGGAAACUGUAAACCUGUAGGCAAACAUUUGCAGAAGUAUAGUUUCUUCGACUAGACAACCCCCUUUGCUGGGAAAUUGUUAGGUGCGUCCUUCUGAGAAACGUGCCUGGCUCGUUGGUGACUGCCCUUCAGAUCCACCCAGGGGGACGCGACAGAAGGAGGGGCGGGUGAGGCCCCCAGUUUCCAUUCUUGGGGAGAGGAAGCUGGCGUUCCACAAUGCGCUCUGAAGACAGCUGAUUAUCAGGUUCCAAUAUUUGCCAAGCGUCCUCUAAUUUCACAUUCCAAAUUUCUUCUCCUUUGCAACCCCCUGCCCACUCCCCCCACCCCCCUGAGCAGAGGGUGCCAUGGCUUGAGCGGGAGGCCUCGAUCCGGCCAGGGACCCGGGGCCUUAGGAUCGGGCUCCUGGACACCCAGGGCUGCGGAGGCGAGAACUCCGAGCGGCCGAGACCGCCGUGCCGGUUUUUGCCAGAGAUUAGCCUCCGCGUGGGUCCCUCCCUCUUUCUCCGGUGAAUGAACGAUUAGUCAAACCGCACCUCCCCGCCCCAGUCCGCCCCGGGGUUAAGGGAGGAGUCCCGGAGGGACUGUUCCUUUUCUUUUUCUCUUUUAAGGGCGAAAAGCGUUCGCUUCUGUGCGUUUAUUAAUCGGCCUUGCGUGUCCUUUCAGCUUCUGUCGUCCUUAGUGCCACGACGCGCAGACACGUAAGCCCAGAGCACAGAUCUCGAAGGCCCCUGGCUCCUCUGUCCGCUCCGCGCGUGAGUCAGCUGCCGUGCCCCCGCCAGAGGGAAGCAAAGCUGGGAGUGAAAAGUUGCAGCCCAACCACCGCCCCCCCCCCCCGCCCCCGUCGCCCCGUUCGUCGCUCCUUCCCAAAGCUGGGGCACCUGGAAAUAAGCAGUGGUGGUGAGGCCCCCAGAGCCCCGUAUUCUGCUUCCUCCCUGGGUUGGAACGGUUGUGAGCAGGAAUGGGGCGGCAUCCUGGGUUAGUGGAGGGUUCCCCGGGGAAAGGGAGGAGAUGACGCGCGCUCUGGGCGAUGGAGACGCGCCUGCCACGCUCCGAUCCGCACCCCGGGGCAAGCAGCCUCCCUCCCAGGGCUGGGGAGAGGGCUGGAAGCCCAGCGGAUGAUGAGUGCCCCGCUCACGGCUUCCGCAGUCCCACUUGCGCCGGGGCGCCCCCAGCGGGCUCCCGGAGGCGCCCGGUGCGCCCCGGUCUCCCGCGCCUGAGCGAGCGAGCGUGCGCGCUGGCCCGACGUAGAGCCCGCGGGGCCGGCAGGAGGUAGGAGUGCAGGAGUGGAGGACGCGGCAGCAGCGGCAGCUCGGGGAGCAGUCAUUGCUGCCCGGGCGGCGGCAGCGGCGGAGCAAGCGGUGCGCAGCGAUUCCUCUCUGCCUAUCUCCCACCGCUCCGACACCCCCUGCACCCGGCCCUCUCUCUGGCGCGGAGGGAGCGACAACUAAACCGCUGCAAGCAACUC